GUUUGGUUUGCCAUCACUUUUUGUGACUUUUCUGACAUCUGCAAGUGUCGGAAGUGUGACCUGAAACAUUUAAGGACACUUCUGCCUGAACCAUGGGCAGAUGUUUAGACUCCAAGAUACAGAGGAGGAGGGUCUUGGAGGUUUCUUAGUAUAAGUUCCUCCCUGUGGUACUUGCAGUUCCUACAAGGGGCUGUCAGAGAAACAAGCCGGAGAAGAGCAAGACAUGGUCCUGGUGCAUGAAAGGAGCCUAAGAAAGAAGAGUGAAAGCUGCACGUGUGAAGGAAAUGAAUUUUCCUCAUUGUACACAUUCCGAGAAAAAUGAGGCUAAGACUAUUUCAAAGGAUGUUCUACCUAAUUCGAAUGGGCUUUAAGUGCCAUCUUCACAAUAGCGCCAGAGUCUGGUGUCAGCAAACUGAACAAAUAGAGCUACAGGGAGCGAAUGGGGCUGGGUGCCUCUCCAAAACAUAUGCAGAUGAACUUGAGAUUUCAGAGGACGGUUAAUCCUACACAGCAGUCAAGUGCCUUCCCAGGGAGCAUCCUGGCAGGCAUCCACUGUGCCAUAUGCUUUCGGGAAGUCUGGAUGCUGAAUGUGGUGGCUGUGGGGAAUUGAGCCUUAUUGCUUCAUAAGAUUCCUGGUGGUAGAACUAUUCUGAACAAGAACACGUCCGUCCCCAUAGGUGUGCUCCAAGAAUCACAGAAUAAGAAGGGACUUCGGAGAGAGCCUCACACAGUUGGGCAAUGGGAGCCCAGAGAGGCAAGGAAGGCUCCUUGCCCAAAGUCUUGUACAUCUGAAUCUGCAACUCCUGACUAUUUUUGAGUCUUAUGCUCCAGGCUAAAACUUGUGACUUUAAGUGUGAUGUUCUCGGUGAUGAUUAAUCUAGGAUGUUUCUGUUGUUUUCUUACCGUCAAAGAAUUAACAUCAAAAGGAAAGGAAGGAAGAAAUGUAGAAGUGAAGGCAAGAAGGAAGGAAGGAGGAAAGGAAGGAAGGAAAAUAUAGGCUUUGGGUAAAAAUAAGUUUCUACUCAACACUGACAAAGGUACAGGUUUUGGACAUUGGUUUCCUAAUCUGUAAAUGAGGAAUAGUCAUCACAUCGCUGUCCUGGCUGGUUUUGUGUGUCAACUUGACACAAGCUGGAGUUAUCACAGAGAAAGGAAAGAAAAUGCCUCCAUGAGAUCUAGCUGUAAAUGGAUUAGUGAUCAAGAGUGGGAGGGCCCAGUGUGGGUGGUGCCAUCCCUGGACUGGUGGUCCUGGGUUCUACAAGAAAACAAGCUGAGCAAGCCAGGGGAAGCAAGCCAGGGGAACAUCCCUCCACGGCUCUGCAUCAGCUCCUGCUUCCUGCCCUGUGUGAGUUCCAGUCCUGACUUCCUUUGGUGACGAACAGCAAUGUGAUAGUAUAAGCUGAAUAAACCCUUUCCUCCCCAAC
rnacentral:lncRNA from 1 species